rnacentral:rRNA from 1 species
CGUGUAGGCGGCCGACCAAGUCGGAUGUGAAAGCCCUCGGCUUAACCGAGGAAGUGCGUUCGAUACUAGUUGGCUUGAGUACCGGAGAGGGUGGUGGAAUUCCCGGUGUAGAGGUGAAAUUCGUAGAUAUCGGGAGGAACACCAGUGGCGAAGGCGACCACCUGGACGGAUACUGACGCUGAGACGCGAAAGCGUGGGGAGCAAACA